rnacentral:misc_RNA from 1 species
GCAGUAGGGGGUUUGCGCACGAAGACAGUUAACCUAAUGUGGAGAAGUAACUUCAAAAACUUAAUAUGAAAAGAGUAUCUAAUCACCAAACAAUAUUACCAUCAAAUGGUUCAACAAACUGUUUAAGUGAACGUCAAUGGCAUUACUUUUUAGCAUCAUCUUUAAUAACUUUUGCUCUUGGAUUAUUUAUUCUUCUCCUAUAUAAAUUAAUUGCCUUCUCCUGCUCGAGAUGGUCAAGAAGGAGGAAAGAAAGGAACGAAAACACAGGUCAAGUGGAGGCGGUUAGUUUUAUGACAAAAUUGAAAUGGAUGGCUGAAAGGUGGAUAUCGGGACAAACUGUCACUGGGCGGAUAUUGGUAUCGCUUUCCUGUGUGCUUAGUAUCGGUUCGCUGAUUAUUUAUCUCAUCGAUGCUUCAAGGUUUGGCAAAAAGGUAGAACAAUGCAAAAGUUGGACUGAAAGCCCGGCACAACAAAUCGAUUUUGUUUUCAACGUUUUCUUCACAUUUUAUUUUAUUAUUCGGUUUACGGCUGCGAAUGAUAAACUGAUAUUCUGGCUGGAAAUGCACUCAAUUGUUGACUACUUUACUAUUCUACCUGCUUAUAUGGCAAUAUACUUAGGUAGACAGUGGCUAGGCUUUCGUUUCCUGAGAGCCCUGCGCCUAAUUUCCUUUCCCGAUAUCCUGCAGUAUUUAAGUUUGUUACGGACAAGCAACAAAAUCCGGUUAGCUCAAUUACUUAGCAUGUUUUUCGGAGUUUGGUUGGCUGCAGCUGGCUUUGUUCAUUUGGUGGAAAAUUCAGGUGAUCCAUUCCAUGAUUGGAAAAAUUCGCAGUAUUUAAGUUACUGGGACUGUCUCUAUUUUUUGAUGGUGACAAUGUCUACAGUUGGCUAUGGCGACAUAUAUUGUGUUACAGACAUUGGCCGAACUUUUAUAGUUUUUUUCUUACUUUUUGCUUUGGCUAUAUUUGCUAGUAGUGUUCCGGAAAUUUUGGAUAUUGUUGGAAAGCAUCCCAGAUAUGGAGGAACUUAUGAAAAACCAGCUGGUGUUAGACAUAUAGUUGUUACCGGACAUAUCAGCUACGAAUCUGUUAAGAACUUUUUAAGAGACUUCUUACACGAAGAUCGAGAGAAUAAGAAUGUUAAGUGUUUGUUUUUGGAUAGUAAAAAUCCAGACUUAGAACUAGAAGCGCUCUUCAAAAGACAUUUCACACAAGUCUGCUUUUUUAAGGGCAGCCCUUUGAACACUAACGACUUGGAGAGAGUCAAACUAAAAUUAGCUGAUGCCUUUUUAGUCGUGGCUGAUCCGAGAGCUUCGGAUCCGGAUGCGGAAGAUGCAGCGAAUAUCAUGAGGGUUAUAUCAGCUAAAAAUUAUCAUAGUGAUAUCAGGAUCAUAAUUCAGCUUAUGAGAUUUCAUAAUAAAGCUUUCCUCGUGAACUUGCCUUCAUGGAUGGCUCAGGAUCAAAUUAUAUGCUUGGCAGAGAUGAAAUUGGGUUUCAUGGCACAAAGUUGUUUGGCUCCCGGUUUUUCUACUUUGAUGGCAAAUCUUUUUGCUAUGAGAAGCUAUAAGAAGUCGGAAAAAGCUGCUAAAUGGCAAGACGAUUAUCUUCGAGGAGCUGGUAUGGAAAUGUAUUCUAGCUACCUAUCCGAAGCCCUGCACGGCCAUACUUUCCCUCAGGCAGUCGAAAUCUGCUUUUGCAAGUUGAAACUUUUAUUAAUCGCCAUAUCUGUUUAUUCGGAAGAUGGAGAAGAUUAUCAAGUUGUGUUAAAUGCAGGAAUAGAUUAUAUUAUAGACAGAGAUACUAAAGCUUUUUUCAUAUGUGAAUCGGAAGAGGAAGUUAAACGAGCUCAAAAUUUCUGCAAGCAUUGUCAUUGGUAUGAGAAAAACAUUCGAAAAAUUGUUAAAUGCAAUUGCUCCAAGCAAGAUAAAUCGACAAUUCCAGUAGCAACUUGUAAACAACAAGAUUCUCCUUCUACGACACCAACAUCUGAUAAGUCAGCUGAUGAUGUUCUACCAAAUCCAUACUGCAGACGUAUUCAAAUCGAUAUCACCAAUCAUUCGCGUUCGAAUAGUCAGAGUCCGACUUCACCUGAUGCCCCCGAAGUUUUCAAUUCGACAUUGAAUACAAAGAGUUUAUCUGCAAUUGUUCCACAUGUCCUUGCUCAAAAACGCCAACAACAAGAAGAAAGGAAAAUGAUUAAAUGCGUUGAACAUUUUGAUUCAACCGGCUUAUUUCAUUGGUGUGAUGAAAGAAAGUUCGAAGAGGCCGUUCUGUCUCAUAGAAAGAAUAGAGAUUUACUUAAGAAGUUGAACAAACAUAUAGUUGUUUGCUUGUUUGGCGAUCACAAAUCACCAUUAAUUGGUUUGUGCAAUUUCGUCAUGCCGCUCAGGGCUAGCAGCUUUAAGUUGGACGAUGUGAAGACUAUUGUAUUUGUUGGUAAUGAAGAGUAUUUAAGAAAAGAAUGGCAUUCCUUGGAAAAUUUUCCCGACGUUUAUGUAAAACCGGGUUCACCUUUAAAUAGAGCUGAUUUAAGAACUAUUAAGAUAAACCAGUGCCAUAUGUGUGUAAUAUUAACAGCUAGCGAUUGUCGAUCGGACGAUAUAACCCUGGUCGACAAAGAAGCUAUCCUUUGUUCUUUGAACAUAAAGACGAUGACAUUUCAAAAUGUUGCCGAUGUUUGGAAAUGCGCAUCUCCCCGCCGAACCUUGGCAACUUUGGCCUUGCUUCGAGACGCCAGAAGCCUGACGCAUCGACCUACAACCGGGGCUUGCAUUCCUAUGAUUACCGAGCUCGGUAAAGAAAAUAGACAUAUACAUAUAAUUAACUUUUUACACCUUUCUGGUUUAGGCUCUUUAGUUUAUUAAUCAAUUUUUUUUAACAGAUAACGAUAUAAAUGCUCAAUUUUUGGACCAAGAUGACGAAGAUGACCCAGAGAUGCCGCUUUAUAUGACUCAGCCUUUUGCGUGCGGAAGAGCCUUCGCUGCAUCGGUUUUAGACUCGUUAAUGAGUACAAUGUUUUUUAAUCCGGACGCAAUGCACAUAAUUAGGUCAUUGAUAACUGGAGGUGCGACCAAUGAAUUUGAUCAUAUAAUGGCGGAAGGAGUCGGAGUCGUUAAAGGAGACUCUUCUAACGAUUCUAUUUUAACGAGAGAUAGAUGUAGAGUUGCUCAAUUGACUCUGGAGGACAGCUACUUGGAACGCUAUAGCUAUAGCUCUUAUGGAACUCUGUUUAUCAAGGCUCUUCGCCAUUAUGGAAUUCUUUGUUUAGGUCUUUAUAGGCAGAUAGAUCCUCGACCCUCAGCCGGAUCAUACAAUAGAUGCGUAGUGACAAAUCCUCCCUCUGAUUUUGCUUUAUAUCCGUCCGAUAAGGUUCUAUAUUUUCAAUAUCCAAAUUAAAAAAAAUAGUCUAAAUAAAUCUUUUGCCUCUUUCAUUCUCGUAUUUUAGGUUUUUUGCCUACUUCCUUACGAAACUAAUAAAGAUAAUGCGAAGAAAGAAAUUCGAAAAGAGUCUAACGACGAGAUUGAAUCAACCCAGUUAUAAACGUUUCUUUAUUCUUGUUUAUAUUUCUUUUCUUUUCCUUUCUUUUUGUUUUUUUUCUACAAAUAACUGUUGUGGUGCUUCCAAAAAAAAGAGUAAAAAAAACAUUAUGUUAGUUAAGAAGAACAACGUUUAGCUGGCCUAAGGUUUUAUUGAAAUGUAUGUAUUCGUAUAAAUCUCUCUAUGUAUAUCUAUACUGUAUAUCUAGAGAGUAUAUGUAUAUUUGUAUAUAACUUUUGUAAGCAAAACAACGAUUAAUAAACAACGAAAAUUCUG